UGUAUAGCAUAUAUGUCAUCAGCAGAAUCUAAUGUUAAAGCAUUGGAUGUCAUGCAAGCUCAGGCUUUAAGGAUAUGUAGUGGAUCUUUUAAAACUUCCCCAGUGUCUUCUAUGCAAGUGGAAAUGGGUGAGAUGCCUUUGAGCAUCAGAAGGAUACAACUGAUGUUGGCAUACUGGGUUAAUGUGAGGGGACAAGUUGAUAGCCACCCAGCUAAAGCUAUCUUAAAAGAAUGCUGGGAACACAUUCCAAUAUCUCCUGAUUCACACUCCAGCCCAGUCGGUGGCGGUAAAUGCACCGUUAAGUUGGUUUGCCAACCGCCAAAAAAACAAAA